rnacentral:rRNA from 1 species
CCUACGGGUGGCAGCAGUAGGGAAUCUUUCACAAUGGGCGAAAGCCUGAUGGAGCAACGCCGCGUGCAGGAUGAAGGCCUUCGGGUUGUAAACUGCUUUUCUAAGCGAGAAAUAUGAUGGUAACUUAUGAAUAAGGAUCGGCUAACUACGUGCCAGCAGCCGCGGUCAUACGUAGGAUCCGAGCAUUAUCCGGAGUGACUGGGUGUAAAGAGUUGCGUAGGUGGCAUAAUAAGUAGCUAGUGAAAUCUGGUGGCUCAACCAUUCAGACUAUUAGCUAGACUGUUAAGCUCGAGACCGUUAGGGGUAACUGGAAUUUCUAGUGUAGGAGUGAAAUCCGUAGAUAUUAGAAGGAACACCAAUAGCGUAGGCAGGUUGCUGGGACGGUUCUGACACUGAGGCACGAAAGCGUAGGGAGCAAACGGGAUUAGAUACCCGAGUAGUC